UACGUAGGGGGCAAGCGUUGUCCGGAUUUAUUGGGCGUAAAGAGCGUGUAGGCGGCCUGAAAGGUCAGCUGUGAAAACUCGAGGCUCAACCUCGAGACGUCGGUUGAAACCAUCUGGCUAGAGUCCGGAAGAGGAGUGUGGAAUUCCCGGCGUAGGCGGUGAAAUGACGCAGAUAUCGGGAAGAACACCCGUGGCGAAGGCGGCACUCUGGGACGGUACUGACGCUGAGACGCGAAAGCGUGGGUAGCAAACAGG
rnacentral:rRNA from 1 species